rnacentral:rRNA from 1 species
AUUGAACGCUGGCGGCAGGCCUAACACAUGCAAGUCGAACGGUAGCACAGAGAGCUUGCUCUCGGGUGACGAGUGGCGGACGGGUGAGUAACGACUGGGAAACUGCCCGAUGGAGGGGGAUAACUACUGGAAACGGUAGCUAAUACCGCAUAACGUCGCAAGACCAAAGUGGGGGACCUUCGGGCCUCACACCAUCGGAUGUGCCCAGAUGGGAUUAGCUAGUAGGUGGGGUAAUGGCUCACCUAGGCGACGAUCCCUAGCUGGUCUGAGAGGAUGACCAGCAACACUGGGACUGAGACAAGGUCCAGACUCCUACGGGAGGCAGCAGUGGGGAAUAUUGCACAAUGGGCGCAAGCCUGAUGCAGCCAUGCCGCGUGUAUGAAGAAGGCCUUCGGGUUGUAAAGUACUUUCAGCGGGGAGGAAGGCGGUGAAGUUAAUAGCUUCACCGAUUGACGUUACCCGCAGAAGAAGCACCGGCUAACUCCGUGCCAGCCGCCGCGGUAA